rnacentral:rRNA from 2 species
CAUGCAAGUCGAACGGUAACAGGAAGCAGCUUGCUGCUUUGCUGACGAGUGGCGGACGGGUGAGUAAUGUCUGGGAAACUGCCUGAUGGAGGGGGAUAACUACUGGAAACGGUGGCUAAUACCGCAUAACGUCGCAAGACCAAAGAGGGGGACCUUCGGGCCUCUUGCCAUCAGAUGUGCCCAGAUGGGAUUAGCUUGUUGGUGAGGUAACGGCUCACCAAGGCGACGAUCCCUAGCUGGUCUGAGAGGAUGACCAGCCACACUGGAACUGAGACACGGUCCAGACUCCUACGGGAGGCAGCAGUGGGGAAUAUUGCACAAUGGGCGCAAGCCUGAUGCAGCCAUGCCGCGUGUAUGAAGAAGGCCUUCGGGUUGUAAAGUACUUUCAGCGGGGAGGAAGGUGUUGUGGUUAAUAACCGCAGCAAUUGACGUUACCCGCAGAAGAAGCACCGGCUAACUCCGUGCCAGCAGCCGCGGUAAUACGGAGGGUGCAAGCGUUAAUCGGAAUUACUGGGCGUAAAGCGCACGCAGGCGGUCUGUCAAGUCGGAUGUGAAAUCCCCGGGCUCAACCUGGGAACUGCAUUCGAAACUGGCAGGCUUGAGUCUUGUAGAGGGGGGUAGAAUUCCAGGUGUAGCGGUGAAAUGCGUAGAGAUCUGGAGGAAUACCGGUGGCGAAGGCGGCCCCCUGGACAAAGACUGACGCUCAGGUGCGAAAGCGUGGGGAGCAAACAGGAUUAGAUACCCUGGUAGUCCACGCCGUAAACGAUGUCUACUUGGAGGUUGUGCCCUUGAGGCGUGGCUUCCGGAGCUAACGCGUUAAGUAGACCGCCUGGGGAGUACGGCCGCAAGGUUAAAACUCAAAUGAAUUGACGGGGGCCCGCACAAGCGGUGGAGCAUGUGGUUUAAUUCGAUGCAACGCGAAGAACCUUACCUGGUCUUGACAUCCACAGAAGAAUCCAGAGAUGGAUUUGUGCCUUCGGGAACUGUGAGACAGGUGCUGCAUGGCUGUCGUCAGCUCGUGUUGUGAAAUGUUGGGUUAAGUCCCGCAACGAGCGCAACCCUUAUCCUUUGUUGCCAGCGGUUAGGCCGGGAACUCAAAGGAGACUGCCAGUGAUAAACUGGAGGAAGGUGGGGAUGACGUCAAGUCAUCAUGGCCCUUACGACCAGGGCUACACACGUGCUACAAUGGCGCAUACAAAGAGAAGCGACCUCGCGAGAGCAAGCGGACCUCAUAAAGUGCGUCGUAGUCCGGAUUGGAGUCUGCAACUCGACUCCAUGAAGUCGGAAUCGCUAGUAAUCGUGGAUCAGAAUGCCACGGUGAAUACGUUCCCGGGCCUUGUACACACCGCCCGUCACACCAUGGGAGUGGGUUGCAAAAGAAGUAGGUAGCUUAACCUUCGGGAGGGCGCUUACCACUUUGUGAUUCAUGACUGGGGUGAAGUCGUAACAAGGUAACCGUAGGGGAACCUGCGGUUGGA